UGGCGGGCGCCAGCAGUCCCAGCUGCUCCGGAAGCUGAGGCAGGAGAAUGACGUGACCCCGGGAGGCGGAGCUUGCAGCGAACCGAUAUCGCGAUACUGCACUCCAGCCUGGGCGACAGAGCGAGACUCCCUCUCAAAAAAAAAAAAAAAACUGUUAGAAUGCCUAUUAGCUGCAUGAGGGGAAACAGUAACCAGAAAGUAGAGGACUGGACAACAUCUGGACCAAGGGAUCAAAAUUAACAUCAAUAAGUCCUAGAAUCAGGCGUUUCUUUAAGAGGCCCUACUUCCUCUAAUUGGAUAAUUCUAGAAACCGGUAUUUGAAUCUGAGGUUUAACUAAAGAGAAUACCUUCUACUGAUGUAACAGCAAUGGUAAUUGGUAUAAAGGCAAAAGCAUGUGCAAAGGAGAAAUCACAACAAAGGCCACUUAUUGAAAUAAAACCUAUUAAAAAUGUACAUUAUCCUCUUGAUUCU
rnacentral:lncRNA from 1 species